AUACGAAGGGGGCUAGCGUUGUUCGGAAUUACUGGGCGUAAAGCGCGCGUAGGCGGACUGAUCAGUUGGGGGUGAAAUCCCAGGGCUUAACCCUGGAACUGCCUCCAAUACUGUCAGUCUUGAGUUCGGGAGAGGUGAGUGGAACUCCUAGUGUAGAGGUGAAAUUCGUAGAUAUUAGGAAGAACACCAGUGGCGAAGGCGGCUCACUGGCCCGAUACUGACGCUGAGGCGCGAAAGCGUGGGGAGCAAACAGGAUUAGAAACCCUAGUAGUCC
rnacentral:rRNA from 1 species